rnacentral:rRNA from 1 species
GACGAACGCUGGCGACGCGCUUAACACAUGCAAGUCGAACGGAAAGGCCUGCUUUCCCUUGUGGAUUGCGGGUACUCGAGUGGCGAACGGGUGAGUAACACGUGAGUGAUCUGCCCCCAACUUGGGUAUAAGCCUGGGAAACUGGGUCUAAUUCCCGAUAGGACUGCAGGGUGGUGCCUGUGGUGGAAAACGAUUUUCUAGUGGUUGGGGAUGAGCUCGCGGCCUAUCAGCUUGUUGGUGGGGUAAUGGCCUACCAAGGCGGCGACGGGUAGCCGGCCUGAGAGGGUGGACGGCCACAUUGGGACUGAGAUACGGCCCAGACUCCUACGGGAGGCAGCAGUGGGGAAUAUUGCACAGUGGGCGGAAGCCUGAUGCAGCGACGCCGCGUGGGGGAUGACGGCCUUCGGGUUGUAAACUCCUUUCGACCGCGAGGAAGCCACCUGGUUGGAAGGGUGGUGACGGUAGUGGUAGAAGAAGCACCGGCUAACUACGUG